rnacentral:rRNA from 1 species
GAUGAACGCUGGCGGCGUGCCUAACACGUGCAAGUCGAGCGAAGCACUUACUUUAGAUUUCUUCGGAAUGACGAAGUUUGUGACUGAGCGGCGGACGGGUGAGUAACGCGUGGGCAACCUGCCCUGUACAGGGGGAUAACAGUUAGAAAUGACUGCUAAUACCGCAUAAGCCCACAGCUUCGCAUGAAGCAGUGGGAAAAACUCCGGUGGUACAGGAUGGGCCCGCGUCUGAUUAGCUAGUUGGUAAGGUAACGGCUUACCAAGGCGACGAUCAGUAGCCGACCUGAGAGGGUGACCGGCCACAUUGGGACUGAGACACGGCCCAAACUCCUACGGGAGGCAGCAGUGGGGAAUAUUGCACAAUGGGGGAAACCCUGAUGCAGCGACGCCGCGUGAGCGAUGAAGUAUUUCGGUAUGUAAAGCUCUAUCAGCAGGGAAGAAAGUGACGGUACCUGACUAAGAAGCCCCGGCUAACUACGUG